rnacentral:tRNA from 4 species
GGGGCUAUAGCUCAGCUGGUAGAGCGCCUGCCUUGCACGCAGGAGGUCAGCGGUUCGAUCCCGCUUAGCUCCACCA